ensembl:lncRNA
CAAGUCGAAAAGAUCUUUUAACUAAGAAUUGGCAAGGAAGUCUGGAUCCAUUUCUGAUCUGUUAGUAGGGCAUCUUUUUUCAGCUACCUCCAUAUCAGGCCAAAGAGUAUCUGAGGGAGGAUUAGUAAUUGGAUAUUUAGCCCUUCACAUGUAGGUCAUUAAGCUCAGGCUGGCAUAGUGAUGUGCCAGAACUUUCAACAGCUGUUCAGUUGCCCCUCAGGGAUCUGUUUUAUGAAUAAUUAUAUAUUUUUCAGGGCUAAUACCUGAUAGCCUUAUUAAAACAAAAAUUUUAAGUUACUUACAUGUUUUCUUUUGACAUAGCCCUUUUUAUAGUCAUAGGAUGUGAAUUUUAAAAUGAUUCUAGUAUCAUCCAAAGCAAGCACUAGCAAAAAAUGGACAAUUUAACCAAACAUACAGAAAGCAUAUAGAAAAUACAGGAAGGCAAAAACCAUAAUAUGAAACAGUAUUAUUUUCAUUAAUUUGUAAAACUCAUUUAUUUAUUUGACAUACUUAUUGAGUCCCAUGUUUUUCUGUCUUAGUAUUGUUGAUACAAAGAUAACUAAAUCGUGAUCUUUGUUCUUGAGGAAUCCUUAGUCUAGUGGGAGAGCUGGUGUUAAAUAUCAUACAGUAUAAUGUACUUGAGAUGCCUGUACAUGGAAAGGAGCAACUAAAUGUUCCUGGAGGUGAGUGACAUAGUUUCAGAAACUGAAUAAUUUGUUCUAUCUUAGAAAGUAAAUAGAAGUUCUCCAGUUAUCAAGAUGGAAAAGUAUUUUAAAUAUUGGGAACAGUGAAAACAAAGGCAUGUCAUAGUUUGGUACAUGACUGAUAAGCAGUGGGUAGGAUGAGAAAGGAGGAGGAAAGACUGACCCUAAGGGUUUUUCUAAUUUAGACAACUGUGUUAGCCCCUCAGUCAUGUCUGACUCUUUGUGACCCCAGGGACUGCAGCCUGCCAGGAUCCUCUGCCCUUGGGAUUUUCCAGGAAAGAAUACUGGUGGGUUGCCAUUUCCUUUUCCAGGGGAUCUUCCCAAUUCAGGGAUUGAACCUGGGUCUCCUGCAUUGCGGGCAGAUUCUUUACCAUCUGAGUUCUAAUUUGGACAACUGUAGGAAUGUAAUUCUGUUAACUGGAUCAUUUGGCAAAUAGUAGA